rnacentral:rRNA from 1 species
UACGAAGGGGGCUAGCGUUGCUCGGAAUCACUGGGCGUAAAGCGCACGUAGGCGGGUCGUUAAGUCAGGGGUGAAAUCCUGGAGCUCAACUCCAGAACUGCCUUUGAUACUGGCGAGCUUGAGUCCGGGAGAGGUGAGUGGAACUGCGAGUGUAGAGGUGAAAUUCGUAGAUAUUCGCAAGAACACCAGUGGCGAAGGCGGCUCACUGGCCCGAUACUGACGCUGAGGCACGAAAGCGUGGGGAGCAAACAGG